UUGACGGGGCUGAAGUCAACGCUGGGUUGUGUGAUAAGCCCAACAGAGACGCUGUGGAGGUGAUGCACAGGGACAGGGUGAUGAUGACCCCAGUCAUGCUGAUGAGCAGGGAGAGAAGAUGCAGCAGGAGGAGAAAGAGGAGGACAGGGAAGAGAAGCAGCAGGAGGAGAAGGUCAUGAGGGCAGAGCAGCAGAGUGACCCUCCGCAGGACUGAGUAUGAGUGUGUGUGUAUGAGAUAAAUGCCUGAAGGAAGACAUGGACUGUUGGAAACACUUCACAUACAAGGAAUAACCCUUUUCUUGGUGUAACAGCAAUUUAAAGAAUUAAUGUGUAUUUUUCAUAUAAGUAAAUGUCUCUUUCAAUAAAACACUAAAGAAACUUAACUUGAAGCCAUCAAUGUGCAUUAAAGUCUUUGUUUGGUUGAUAUUUCCCACCAAACUUGUUUUGUUUGCUUUACUUUACAGCAAUGUAUGUUUGCAAUACAUAAAGAGCUGGACAGUUUAGUAAAUUGU